AGCCUGAUCCAGCCAUGCCGCGUGAGUGAAGAAGGCCUUCGGGUUGUAAAGCUCUUUCGGCCGGGACGAAAUCGCUCUCGCUAAUAUCGGGAGUGGAUGACGGUACCGGAAUAAGAAGCACCGGCUAACUACGUGCCAGCAGCCGCGGUAAUACGUAGGGUGCAAGCGUUAAUCGGAAUUACUGGGCGUAAAGCGUGCGCAGGCGGUUCCGCAAGUCAGAUGUGAAAUCCCCGGGCUUAACCUGGGAACUGCGUUUGAAACUACGGAGCUAGAGUAUGGCAGAGGGAGGUGGAAUUCCAAGUGUAGCAGUGAAAUGCGUAGAUAUUUGGAGGAACACCGAUGGCGAAGGCAGCCUCCUGGGCUAGUACUGACGCUCAUGCACGAAAGCGUGGGGAGCAAACAGGAUUAGAUACCCUGGUAGUCCACGCCCUAAACGAUGGCAACUAGUUGUUGGGGAUUAACAUCCUUAGUAACGCAGCUAACGCGUGAAGUUGCCCGCCUGGG
rnacentral:rRNA from 1 species